rnacentral:lncRNA from 1 species
GGUUAUCUUUUUGUUCAAAUAAUCUAUAAUUUUCUGGUAGAAAACAUAACAAUGUCUUUCAGGUUGAUAUUGAAAAUUUGACAUCUUGAAAGUUUUAGAAUGGGAAUCACAUGAAUGACCAAAAUAAAAUAUGGGUAAAUUAGCAAGAAAAAGAAAAAGAAAAAGAAAGCAUUUUCAGGUACGCAUGUUUUCAUUACUUAAGUUGAAGAUUCACUAUAAGCAAGCAAAAGUUACUCUCUUUUCCAUUAAUAUAUAUAAUAUUCACAAGAAACCAAAGAAAAGUAUAGAAGCCAAAAUCUUUUGUGUCAUCAAGAACAGCAUGCAAAUUGAAAUUAAAACUGCCAGAG